GCGACACACAAACACAUCAUCUGUAAUAUUGUACAAACACCUUGAACAAAGUUACACAUUAAAAAGACUAAUAAUACAUCAUGUAUUUGAAAUCACGACGACCAUGAGGCAGAAAUGCCCAGAUCAUACUUCUUUUCUAGCAGAACACCAGGAGCAUCUCCAGAACCCACACUCAGAAAGAGAGAGGGGGGAACUCAUCUUCAUCUUUU
rnacentral:misc_RNA from 1 species